UACUCCUACGGGAGGCAGCAGUGGGGAAUCUUCCGCAAUGGACGAAAGUCUGACGGAGCAACGCCGCGUGAGUGAUGACGGCCUUCGGGUUGUAAAGCUCUGUUAAUCGGGACGAAAGGCCUUCUUGCGAAUAGUUAGAAGGAUUGACGGUACCGGAAUAGAGAGCCACGGCUAACUACGUGCCAGCAGCCGCGGUAAUACGUAGGUGGCAAGCGUUGUCCGGAAUUAUUGGGCGUAAAGCGCGCGCAGGCGGAUUGGUCAGUCUGUCUUAAAAGUUCGGGGCUUAACCCCGUGAUGGGAUGGAAACUGCCAAUCUAGAGUAUCGGAGAGGAAAGUGGAAUUCCUAGUGUAGCGGUGAAAUGCGUAGAUAUUAGGAAGAACACCAGUGGCGAAGGCGACUUUCUGGACGAAAACUGACGCUGAGGCGCGAAAGCCAGGGGAGCGAACGGGAUUAGAUACCCCGGUAGUCCUGGCCGUAAACGAUGGGUACUAGGUGUAGGAGGUAUCGACCCCUUCUGUGCCGGAGUUAACGCAAUAAGUACCCCGCCUGGGGAGUACGACCGCAAGGUUGAAACUCAAAGGAAUUGACGGA
rnacentral:rRNA from 1 species